rnacentral:rRNA from 1 species
CGAGUCCGAGUCUCCACGGAGACGAAGUGGCGGUCAUCCAGCUUCCUAGAAAAGCUCUAACCACGUUAAUCUUUAGUUGCCUGUACCCGAAACCACACAGGUAGGGGGGUAGAGAAUACCAAGGGGCGCGAGAUAACACUCUCUAAGGAACUCGGCAAAAUGACCCCGUAACUUCGGGAGAAGGGGUACCACUGAGAAGUGGUCGCAGUGAAGAGGCCCAGGCGACUGUUUACCAAAAACACAGGUCUCCGCCAAGUCGCAAGACGAAGUAUGGGGGCUGACGCCUGCCCAGUGCCGGAAGGUUAAGGAAGUGGGUUAGGGAUUCGUCCCGAAGCUGACGACUGAAGCCCCGGUGAACGGCGGCCGUAACUAUAACGGUCCUAAGGUAGCGAAAUUCCUUGUCGGGUAAGUUCCGACCCGCACGAAAGGCGUAACGAUCUGGGCGCUGUCUCGGAGAGAGGCUCGGCGAAAUAGGAUUGUCUGUGAAGAUACGACUACCUGCACCUGGACAGAAAGACCCUAUGAAGCUUUACUGUAGCUUGGAAUUGGGUUCGGGCUUGGUUUGCGCAGGAUAGGUGGGAGGCGAAGAAGAUUUGCUUGUGGGUGAAUCUGAGCCAACGGUGAGAUACCACUCUAACCAGGCUAGAAUUCUAACUUCAACCCGUCAACCGGGGGAAGGACAGUUUCAGGUGGGCAGUUUGACUGGGGCGGUCGCCUCCUAAAAGAUAACGGAGGCGCACAAAGGUUCCCUCAGGCUGGUUGGAAAUCAGCCAACGAGUGCAAAGGCAGAAGGGAGCUUGACUGCGAGACCUACAAGUCAAGCAGGGUGGAAACACGGUCUUAGUGAUCCGACGGCACCGAGUGGAAGGGCCGUCGCUCAACGGAUAAAAGUUACUCUAGGAUAACAGGCUGAUCUCCCCCAAGAGUUCACAUCGACGGGGAGGUUUGGCACCUCGAUGUCGGCUCAUCGCAACCUGGGGCGGAAGUACGUCCCAAGGGUUGGGCUGUUCGCCCAUUAAAGCGGUACGUGAGCUGGGUUCAGAACGUCGUGAGACAGUUCGGUCCAUAUCCGGUGUAGGCGCAAGAACAUUGAGAGGAGUCUUCCUUAGUACGAGAGGACCGGGAAGAACGCACCGCUGGUGUACCUGUUAUCGUGCCAACGGUAAACGCAGGGUAGCCAAGUGCGGAGUGGAUAACCGCUGAAAGCAUCUAAGUGGGAAGCCCACCUCAAGAUGAGUGUUCUCAUGGAGUAAUCCAGUAAGGUCACGGGAAGACGACCCGUUGAUAGGCGGUAGGUGGAAGUUCAGCAAUGGAUGAAGCCGAGCCGUACUAACAGACCGAGGGC